rnacentral:tRNA from 1 species
AAAACUAUAGGUUAAAUAAACUUUUAAUUUUCAAAAUUAAUCAUGGGAUUCUUUCUUUAGUUUUG